rnacentral:rRNA from 1 species
UACGAAGGGGGCUAGCGUUGCUCGGAAUGACUGGGCGUAAAGGGUGCGUAGGCGGUUUGGUAAGUCUUAUGUGAAAUCUACAGGCUCAACUUGUAGUCUGCAUGAGAAACUGCCGGGCUUGAGUAUGGGAGAGGUGAGUGGAAUUCCUGGUGUAGCGGUGAAAUGCGUAGAUAUCAGGAGGAACACCUGUGGCGAAAGCGGCUCACUGGACCAUAACUGACGCUGAUGCACGAAAGCUAGGGGAGCAAACAGG